AGAGAGAGACAUGCGCGCAUAUCAAUAAGCGGAGGAAAAGAAACUAACAAGGAUUCCCCUAGUAACGGCGAGUGAAGCGGGAAGAGCUCAAAUUUGAAAUCUUAAAGGGUUUCCCUUUACGAAUUGUAGUUUAAAGAAGUGUUUUCUGUUGAGGUUUUGGUAAAAGUUCUUUGGAAUAGGACAUCAUAGAGGGUGAGAAUCCCGUACUUUGACCUUUACUUUCAACUUUGUGAUACACUUUCAAAGAGUCGGAUUGUUUGGGAAUGCAGUCCAAAAUGGGUGGUAAAUUUCAUCUAAAGCUAAAUAUUGGCGAGAGACCGAUAGCGAACAAGUACCGUGAGGGAAAGAUGAAAAGAACUUUGAAAAGAGAGUUAAACAGUACGUGAAAUUGUCAAAAGGGAAGCGUUUGACACCAGUGUUGUUUUUCUGAAAAUCAAUUAGAGAACUGUUUAUGCUAAGUUGUUUAGACUUUAUCAGCUAACUGUUUAGUUUUGAGCUUUUCUUUAAUGCACUUUUCAGUUAACAAGUCAACAUCAAUUUCUUUUGCUGUAAAAAAGCUUGAGGAAGGUGGCUUGAGAUUCGUCUUAAGUGUUUAUAGCCUCUUGCCUAUGCAGUCGGAGAGAUUGAGGUCUGCAGCGUAGAUCCUUCGGGGCUAAAUGCAUUUGUGCUAAGUUAUAGCAUUUUAUAGACAACUUGUUGACUAUGAUUUGUCUUGUAGCUUACUCGCUUAUGUUAUUUUACCUACGCUUAGGAUGUUGAGCGCAUGUCUCUCUCU
rnacentral:rRNA from 1 species